UUUCAGAAUUUCCAUUGGUUGCAUUUUUGUUUUUUUCUUCCAUCAAGUACAUUCUACAAUGUUUAAGAAUGAUUUUGAAAGUGAAGAGAUUAAAACAAACAUGAUCAGGGGAGAAUAAAGGAACGAGAAAGAGGGUGAGGAGCAACCUCUGUAUCCCCGGUCCCAGUUUCUUCUAGCCACCGAUGUCCUUCACCUGAAGCCUUGGUCUUCCUCAGUUUAUAAAGCAGCUCUCAACAGAGAAGGUGUCAAAUGAUAGAUUCAAACAGAGAUGCCCUAAAAAGACUGUCAAAAAUAUGUCCUUAAAGGUAGAGAGCAAGGCCUUCGAAAGCUGUACAGAACAAAUGGUGUGGUUCAUUAAAAUUACUUGGAU
rnacentral:lncRNA from 10 species